rnacentral:rRNA from 1 species
CCUACGGGAGGCUGCAGUGGGGGAUAUUGCACAAUGGGGGAAACCCUGAUGCAGCAACGCCGCGUGUGGGAAGAAGGUUUUCGGAGUGUAAACCACUGUUCGUGGGGAAGAGAAUGACGGUAACCAAGGAGAAAGAUCCGGCUAACGACGUGCCAGCAGCCGCGGUAAUACGUAGGGAGCAAGCGUUGUCCGGAUUUACUGGGUGUCAAGGGGGCGUAGGCGGUCUUGCCCGUCAGACGGGAAAACCACAGGCUCAACCUGUGGACGGCGUUUGAAACUGUGGGGCUUGAGUGAAGUAGAGGUAGGCGGAAUUCCCGGUGUAGCGGUGAACUUCGU